UACGAGAGGACCGGGAUGGACGCACCGCUGGUGUACCAGUUGUCCCGCCAGGGGCACCGCUGGGUAGCUAUGUGCGGAAGGGAUAAGCGCUGAAAGCAUCUAAGCGUGAAGCCCCCCUCAAGAUGAGAUUUCCCAUCGCUCGAAGCGAGUAAGAUCCCUUGAAGAUGACGAGGUAGAUAGGUCCGAGGUGGAAGCGUGGUGACACGUGGAGCUGACGGAUACUAAUCGAUCGAGGACUUAACCAAG
rnacentral:rRNA from 1 species